GCCAUGGCUCAUUGGAAGAGCCUCUGCUUUGCAUGCAAAUGGCCCUAGGUUCAAUCCCCAGUAUCUCCG
rnacentral:tRNA from 1 species